AUGAGUAGUUGCUAUCAAUCUUACAAAGUUUUGUUGACAAAUUUUUGUCACUCCAAAAUUUGUAUUUUCAGAAAAUUGUACGCGGACAUGAUGAACCUAUUUGGAAGGAGUUCUUUGAGUAGACGAUCCUCGGGGGCAUCUUCUAGUGACAGUUUCGCCCGUCGGUCUUAUGUUGAACCAAGUGAAAGUUCCACGCGAGAUGCCGCCACCAAGACAUGUUUAUGGCCUAGCGAUGAAUAUAUGGUGCGUGUGGGCAUUAAGGAGGAAUUUGAGCAACAUGUUCACAAUCCCGGCCUCGGUCCCUGCCUAUCAGAUAAGUGCGCACAACACCAACUUCUCACUGAAUCAUUUGUCAAGGAUUUAAAUAUUUUCCAUGUGAGUCUAGGGUGUCAUUUAUGCUUUAUGAUAAUCCUUAUACUAUCCCACUGGAGAAUUUUGCUUACCAUUGCAAACUGCCAUUUUGGGGUUCACUUGAUGAGCCACCAACGGUUGAGUACGAGUCUUUCUUGA
rnacentral:rRNA from 1 species